rnacentral:lncRNA from 1 species
GCAUGAACAGUUGCUGAAAUUGCUCAAUAUGUGGAUUCGGGAUUGCGAUUUUCUCGGGUGAUUGGGAAAGUAAUCCAUUGCAAGUUGCUUUCCGUCUCCAGCAAUUUUCAUUAUUCAAGAAUUUGAUCGCAGAUUUCUGAGGAUGAUCCAAUGUAUCUCGCGAAGGUUUUGGAGUAACCUUCGCUGCUUUCACAGGUAUGACAACAUGUGAAGAUUUGGUAGAUAGUUGUUGGCACCUGGCUACUUUCUUUGGCCGCAGCACGUUUUGUGUACUUCUGUUCUGUUUCUGAAGUCCGUCUAAAAUCCUUUUGCUCAUGAUGCUUAAUUCUUACAGCAACCAGUGCGAGAUCCAUCAAGAAGCGGAGCACGCAGCACCAGUUGCAUUACACCUGCGCAAAAUUUUCACCAACCGCCAUGACCAAAUCCUCUGCACUUCUUCCUCUGGACGUCCGAAUUUCUGCACCACCAUACUGCAAUGCUCACGGCUACUGUGCAUCGGAGUGAUAAUGCUCGUCGGGCAGGAGUAACGGAAUCUGAGACAAUGAAUAGAGAGGAGAUCCAAGGAGGCACAAGAAACAAACAUCCAUCCAGACUCGGCAGUCUCGCUCCCUCAUGCGGAGCUCCUCCCACGAUCUCCAUUAGUUCCAGAUUGCCAAAGAAUCGACGACACUCUGAUGACGAGAGUUACCACACAUGGGUGAGAAAUAUUUCAUUGGGGAAUUUCUUCAUGGUAAGUCAUUAAUCUCAACUGAACCAAUCUCUUAUUUCUUUUUAAAAAUAUGAAAAAAUUCCCAUGUAUAUAUAUAUAUAUAUAUAUAUAUAUAUAUCCCCUACUUAGUUCCAUUUUGCAU